rnacentral:rRNA from 1 species
AAACUAACAAGGAUUCCCCUAGUAACUGCGAGUGAAGCGGGAAAAGCUCAAAUUUAAAAUCUGGCGGUCUCUGGCCGUCCGAGUUGUAGUCUGGAGAAGUGCUUUCCGCGCUGGACCGUGUAUAAGUCUCUUGGAACAGAGCGUCAUAGAGGGUGAGAAUCCCGUCUUUGACACGGACUACCAGUGCUUUGUGAUGCGCUCUCAAAGAGUCGAGUUGUUUGGGAAUGCAGCUCAAAAUGGGUGGUGAAUUCCAUCUAAAGCUAAAUAUUGGCGAGAGACCGAUAGCGAACAAGUACCGUGAGGGAAAGAUGAAAAGCACUUUGGAAAGAGAGUUAAACAGUACGUGAAAUUGCUGAAAGGGAAACGCUUGAAGUCAGUCGCGUUGUCCGGAACUCAGCCUUGCUUUUGCUUGGUGCACUUUCCGGAUGACGGGUCAGCAUCGAUUUUGACCGUCGGAAAAGGGCUGGAGUAAUGUGGCACCUCCGGGUGUGUUAUAGACUCUGGUCGCAUACGGCGGUUGGGAUCGAGGAACGCAGCGCGCCGCAAGGCAGGGGUUCGCCCACUUUCGCGCUUAGGAUGCUGGCAUAAUGGCUUUAAACGACCCGUCUUGAAACACGGACCAAGGAGUCUAACAUACCUGCAAGUGUUUGGGUGGUAAACCCGAGCGCGUAAUGAAAGUGAAAGUUGAGAUCCCUGUCGUGGGGAGCAUCGACGCCCGGACCAGACGUUCUCUGACGGAUCCGCGGUAGAGCAUGUAUGUUGGGACCCGAAAGAUGGUGAACUAUGCCUGAAUAGGGUGAAGCCAGAGGAAACUCUGGUGGAGGCUCGUAGCGAUUCUGACGUGCAAAUCGAUCGUCAAAUUUGGGUAUAGGGGCGAAAGACUAAUCGAACCAUC